AGCAAUUUUACCCGCGAAUUCAGCAAAGAGGGAGCCAAAAAUUCAGAUGGCACUGUGCAAGAUCGAUCGGCGCUCGAAGACGUUGUUCUUCCAACUUGAAGUAGUUGACGCGCCGGAGGCUGCCUAAAAAAGAGUUCUAUUGGAUGAAAUAGUUCGACUGCGGAAGAAAUAGUUCUACCGGUGCGACGAAGACGUAAGAAAGAAGCACAUUCAGCUUUAUUUCGAUUGCGUAAGAAAGAGUUGUACCUGCGCUCCAUUGAAGCAGUGGUCGUGACAUUUGAAACUAGGCCAUGGAAGAAAGAGUUCCUCAAUCUUGAAGCUGCCACGCGCUUCCCAAAUUUGAGCAGAUUCGAGUAGAUGACGAACAACGGUAUUUUCCUUAAUGAAGCUUAAAAAUACGGACUAGAUAAUCAAAUUUAAACUUCCCAUCUUAAAUGACAGUAUUUCCCUACCUUUAAGCUUCAAAAUAUGAUUACAUGAUAUAAUAAAAUUCGAUACACACAGAUGAAGAAGGAAGAUGAAAGCCAAAACCAUAAUGUUUUACUUCAUACAUUUUACAAUGGUUGUGUGUACAUUCAUAGGUUAAAGUUCAAGCUAUACAUUGUAAAAUGAAAUUUGUAAUGGAACUAAACAUUGGCUUGAUUUUUGUGAUUAGCUUGCUUGAUUUUUGUGAUUGCUUAACUUGAUCUUUGUGAUUGCUGUGAUUGGUGUAAUACGAUAUUUCACUGUGAAUCAAAAAUCAAUUAAAUGGUCAAUUAAUUGUUCACCCUAUUCUAUCAAACUAAAAUAGAAUUAGGGGAAAGCUUAAAAUUUUCACCCAUAUGUUGUGGAUUUUGUUAAGAAUUUGUUGAUUAUGGAGAAAGAGGGAAUGAAAUGUGUCAUCGAUUAUGUUACUGCAUGCAAGGAAAUUGCGAAAGAGGCGGAUGAUGUCAUUCUAUUAUAGUCCCAAACUGACAACAUUUUGGAAAGUGAGAAAGUCGUGGAUGAUGGAAUUGAAGGGGUAGACAGUGUAAUUGUGCCUGUUGUGGGUAUGAAGUUUAACGAUGAAAGUGAAAUGUAUAAUUUUUACAAACGAUAUGCAUAUGACGUAGGAUUUCUAGUAAGGAAAAGAACUUCACAGAAAGAUGAUGAUGGAAUUGUGAGAUAUGUAGUGUUCACAUGUAGCCGUGAAGGGUGAAGAAGUUUCACCCCGAGCGGUGGUUUGAAACCGCAAGCUACCGUUCAGACAGGUUGCAAAGCUAGGAUAACUGCAUCUGUAGAUGCAUGCAGAAUAUGGAAAAUUAACACAAUCAACCUCAGUCACAAUCAUAUAACAAGUCCCUCGAAGUCUAGGUUGUAUCGUUGCAACCAAGAAUUGAGUUCCCAUAUCAAAUGACGGCUUGAAGUGAACGAUAUGGUAGGGAUUCUGUUGCACAAAAGUUACAACACCGCAGUUGUAGAAGCAGGGGGAUAUGAAAAUAUGACAUGCGUGGAAAAAGACUGUCAAAACUAUGUUGAGCAAGUGAGGCGGUUAAGACUUGGAGAAGGGGAUGCUGUCGCAAUACAAGCCUAUUUUUUGAACAUGCAAGCAAGGUGUUCAAGUUUUUACUUUAUGGAUCUAGAUGAAGAGCUGCGACUGAAGAAUAUUUUCUGGGUAGACAGUAGAAGUAGGGAAGCAUAUAAGGAGUUCGGUGAUGUGGUAACAUUUGAUACCACGUACCUAACUAAUAAGUACGACAUGCCGUUUGCUUCGUUUCAUGGAGUUAAUCACCACGGACAGUCAGCACUCUUUGGCUGUGGGUUGGUGUCGAAUGAGAAUACAGAAACAUUUGUUUGACUUUUUAAGACUUGGCUUCAGUGUAUGAAUGACGAAGCUCCUAUUGGGAUUAUUACCGAUCAAGAUAGGGCUAUGCAGAAUGCAAUUGAGAUCGUAUUCCCGAAAACAAAACACAGGUGGUGUUUAUGGCACAUAAUGAAGAAGUUGCCUGAGAAGUUUGGAUACCACGUGGAUAGGGGUGACAUAUUUUUUGCCAUACAUGUACUGGUAUAUGAUUCUUAGACUGUUGACCAAUUUGAUGAAGGUUAGAGAGCAAUGGUCGAUAGAUAUUCCUUGCAUGAUAAUAAGUGAUUGUCAGGAUUGUUUGUGAACAGAGGUUGUUGGGUACCAUGCUUUUUAAAAAGCAGAUUUUGGGCAGGAAUGUCAACAACUCAGCGUAGUAAGAGUAUGAAUGCCUUUUUCGAUGGUUAUGUAUACUCCAAGACAUCGUUGAAACAAUUCGUCGAACAAUAUGAAAGAGCAUUACGGAAGAAGGUGGAAAAUGAGUUUCAAGCAGAUUUUAAAUCAUACUUGCAAAUGGUAACAUGUGCAACGAAGUACGAGUUGGAAAAGCAGUUUCAAAGAGUUUAUACCAUUUCAAAAUUCUGAGAAUUUCGGGAUGAAUUCAUUGGAAAGGUUUAUUGUGAACUACUUUCGUCGUCAAAGGGCUUUCAAGGGAAGACUUAUGAGGUAUUGGAGGAUGUCAUAUUUGACAAUGGAGUGAAAAAAUCGAAGUUUUUUGUGAGAUUUGAACGACAGCAAUGUGAAAUUGCUUGCAGUUACCGCUUGUUUGAGUUUCGAGAUAUAAUUUGUAGGCACGCGAUCACUGUACUCAUACGUAAUAAUGUCACUGCAUUGCCAGACACCUAUAUAUUACGGAGAUGGAGAAGAGAUGUUAUCAGAGCCCACACCAAGGUCCAAGUGAAUUAUGAUGGUUUAAACAGCACCCCUAACCAAUUGAGAUAUGACAAAAUGUGUCAAUCGUUCUCUUCACUUGCAGACAUGGCUCACGGGAGUGACGAUCGAACCUUGACGUACUAGAGUGGAUAGAAUGCAAAAAACAAUCAUUUACGAUGGGAAGGUCAAGUUGCGGAAGUGAUGACGGGUCCCAGUGUGUAUAUCAGACAGCGUUGGAUGGUCGAGAAUCACAUUGCCGUUUACGUAUACAGGAUCCAAAAUGCUCGAAGAGAAAAGGCGCGCCGAAGAAACUUUGAAAUAAAAGCCCGUUGGAAGUAGCAUCUAGUAAAGCUAAGUCACGUCCGACUUCUGAUAAGGGAAGAGGACGGAAGAUAGGCCCAAGUAAACAGGGAGAGGUUGCGCUGAUUGUACCUACAGAUGAUCAAGGUAAGAUAGGCCCAAGUAAACUGGGAGCGGUUGCGCUAAUUGUACCUACAGAUGAUCAAGGCCUGUCAACUUGUCCAAACGAUGGUUCGCAGGUCCUUGGAAGAAGGUUGAGCUUGUGUGGCCUAUCACUCACUCUCUUAGAUUCUUAUAGUUGGCUGUAAGAGGAAGACAACUUCAUGCAGAUUCUGUGUACUGUCAACACCUUGGAUUUGGCCUGUUGAGGCAUGUGAAUAGCUUGAUCAAGCAGUUAAUGUAUUAGGUUUUGUGCCCAUAAUGUCUCUGUUAUGCCCAUCUGUAAUGACUAUGUUUGGUCCGAUGUUAUGCAGUUAAUGUAGUCAGUUUUGAUGACUAUGUUUGGUCUGAUGUUAUGCAGUAAAUGUAGUCGGUUUUGAGGCUUGUCAAUACGUUGGGAAUUGUAUUGAUCUUGUUAAAAUUAUUCCCAAAUAGUUGUAGGAACUUCGGUUCAACAACAUAAUUAAGAUUGAAGCUUAAAGCAACAUCAUUUUAGUUCACCAGCAGCA